CACGUAGGGCGCAAGCGUUGUCCGGAAUUAUUGGGCGUAAAGAGCUCGUAGGCGGUCUGUUGCGUCCGCUGUGAAAACUCGGGGCUUAACCCCGAGCCUGCAGUGGAUACGGGCAGACUAGAGGUAGGUAGGGGAGAAUGGAAUUCCCGGUGUAGCGGUGAAAUGCGUAGAUAUCAAGUGGAACACCAGUGGCGAAGGCGAGUCUCUGGACAUUUCCUGACGCUGAGGCACGAAAGCCAGGGGAGCAAACGGG
rnacentral:rRNA from 1 species